GAUGAAAAACGUAGCGAAAUGCGAUACGUAAUGUGAAUUGCAGAAUUCAGUGAAUCAUCGAAUCUUUGAACGCAUAUUGCGCUCUUUGGUAUUCCGAAGAGCAUGCUUGUUUGAGUAUCAGUAAACACCUCAACCUCUUCUUGAUUUUUCAAAAGGAGGGUGGACUUGAGCUAUCCCAACAACCUUUACCGGUCGGCGGGCGGCUUGAAAUGCAGGUGCAGCUGGACUUUUAUCUGAGCUAAAAGCAUAUCUAUUUAGUCCUCGUCAAACAGGAUUAUUACUUUUGCUGCAGCUAACAUAAAGGAUAAUUGUCCUCUUUGCUGACUGAUGCAGGAUUUUACGACACUUUAUGUGUUGUUCAACUCGAUCUCAAAUCAAGUAAGACUACCCGCUGAACUUAAGCAUAUCAAUAAGCGGAGGA
rnacentral:misc_RNA from 1 species